rnacentral:rRNA from 1 species
GCGUGGGCAACCUGCCCUCUAGAUGGGGACAACAUUCCGAAAGGGGUGCUAAUACCGAAUGUGACAGCAAUCUCGCAUGAGGAUGCUGUGAAAGAUGGCCUCUAUUUAUAAGCUAUCGCUAGAGGAUGGGCCUGCGUCUGAUUAGCUAGUUGGUGGGGUAACGGCCUACCAAGGCGAUGAUCAGUAGCCGGUCUGAGAGGAUGAACGGCCACAUUGGGACUGAGACACGGCCCAGACUCCUACGGGAGGCAGCAGUGGGGAAUCUUCCGCAAUGGGCGAAAGCCUGACGGAGCAAUGCCGCGUGAGUGAUGAAGGAAUUCGUUCCGUAAAGCUCUUUUGUUUAUGACGAAUGUGCAGAUUGUGAAUAAUGAUUUGUAAUGACGGUAGUAAACGAAUAAGCCACGGCUAACUACGUGCCAGCAGCCGCGGUAAUACGUAGGUGGCGAGCGUUGUCCGGAAUUAUUGGGCGUAAAGAGCAUGUAGGCGGUUUUUUAAGUCUGGAGUGAAAAUGCGGGGCUCAACCCCGUAUGGCUCUGGAUACCGGAAGACUUGAGUGCAGGAGAGGAAAGGGGAAUUCCCAGUGUAGCGGUGAAAUGCGUAGAUAUUGGGAGGAACACCAGUGGCGAAGGCGCCUUU